CCUACGGGAGGCAGCAGUGGGGAAUCUUGCGCAAUGGGCGAAGGCCUGACGCAGCCAUGCCGCGUGAAUGAUGAAGGUCUUAGGAUUGUAAAAUUCUUUCACCGGGGACGAUAAUGACGGUACCCGGAGAAGAAGCCCCGGCUAACUUCGUGCCAGCAGCCGCGGUAAUACGAAGGGGGCUAGCGUUGCUCGGAAUUACUGGGCGUAAAGGGAGCGUAGGCGGAUAGUUUAGUCAGAGGUGAAAGCCCAGGGCUCAACCUUGGAAUUGCCUUUGAUACUGGCUAUCUUGAGUACGGAAGAGGUAUGUGGAACUCCGAGUGUAGAGGUGAAAUUCGUAGAUAUUCGGAAGAACACCAGUGGCGAAGGCGACAUACUGGUCCGUUACUGACGCUGAGGCUCGAAAGCGUGGGGAGCAAACAGGAUUAGAUACCCUGGUAGUCCACGCCGUAAACGAUAGAGUGNUAGUUGUCGGUCGAUGCAUGCAUGUCGGUGGACGCGAGCGUACGAC
rnacentral:rRNA from 1 species